rnacentral:lncRNA from 1 species
AUGGCACGGAGACAACCCGAUGGCACCGUUGACAAUGCCGAAGAAACUGGAUCUCGUGCUGCGGAAGAAGAAGUAGGUGGUCUCAUUGCGAGGGGAAAAAAUCAUGAUAUUGAGAGAAGAUUCAUCGGCACAGGUUAUAAAUUAACGAAAGCUUUUACAGUCACCCCAGCGAAAACUGCACUUCAAUGGCUUGGUGCGGGAGCUGAUGGAGUAAUACACCUGAAUCAUUUAGUCCGUCCUAAGAAUGUAGCCAAAAUGUUUUCAAGCAGGAAAAAAAGAAGAAAGGAUCACUCCUGCCCUUCCUGGGAGAUAUGGGAAAGAAUAAACAUUCAAAUCCGCCUUGGAGUUUGUUUCAUAGGAAAGGGAAACAAUAAAAAUUCAAAUCAGCCCUGGAAUUUCUUUUUCGUGAUUUUUUCUUUAUGUAAUAAGAAUUUACUUAGUAAUAUUUAUUAUUAUAUUUAUUAUUUAUCUAGCUAGCACUUUCCUCGGAGCAGCACGGUACAUAGAUACCUACGCAAGCUAGAAAUCAGAAAAGAUAUGUAUUAACUCACCGGAAGAUCGUGAUGUGCAUAAGUAGCAUGUUAAACCCUCUUGUGGGUUCAGUAAUUCGGUACGAUCUGCAAAUUUAUUGACCAGAUGAAUAGUUCUCUAGUCCGAACAUGAAAGUACAUGGUGGGUUGUGCACUCACAAGCAAUAAGGAGCUGAGUGCUGAGGUAUGUUGAUGGAGACAUACUCAUUUGAUGGUGCGAUUGAUCGAAUUAAAGUGAAGAACUACUGUUUCCUUACCAAUAGACAACAGAACGAAGAAUGAUAAGAUAAAUGUACAUACACAGGACGGCUUGACGUAUCAAGCCAAUCACAAUCACACCUAACCUCAAAACUUUUGUAACUAAUGAACUACGUCAUCUCGAACUCGUCAAACCGUUCAAGUUCAAACCAAAACAAAUCCCCCCCCCCCUCCACCGUGUUUCUCAGGAUUCAAGAAAUAUUUUUUUUUGGAUUUAAAAACAAUUAUCAUCAGGGCCGGAUUAAGGGGGUGGCCACAUGGGCCGCGGCCCAUGGCGGCAAAUCUAGGGGGGGGCAAAUUUUGCAAUUUUUUAAAUGUAGGUAUAAAAAAAUCGGCUUUAGAAAAAAAAAUUACAAACGAAAAAAGGCGACAAGAUCUCUCAUUUCCUGAGAGUAUAGUAAUUUCUAAUUCAGUCCGUCUUUCAUCAGUGAUACAAGUGACAGCACCUUUAAUUAGUUGAGUUAAGAGAGAAACCAAACACGCAAUUUGGCCUGGAACGGCGCGACUUGGAGAGAAAUGAUGACGAGGACUUAUUGAGAUGAAAAGGAGAAGCCUCGGCGCGGCGAUCGAUCGGCAUGUAACACAUAUUAGCGCCUGCAAGAGUGCAUGAAUACUUCACGCAUUGCGUCAAACGCAGUGCUUUCAGCAGCGGUCGGCGUGAAAAUCAUAGUACCUUCAAGACUGUUGGAAUACUUCACGCAUUACUCCAAACACGGUGCGGUCUGCCUGCGCGGCGUGGCGGAAGUUAAAAUCAUUAAAUCACAUUUAUGUUUGUUCUUUCAUAAUUUUUUCGUUCAUUUCUUAUGAAUGGAAGGCCUUGUCCACAAAGAGAUAGGUUUACGAAACUUAAAUUUCGCGCGAAGUUCCGUGAACAUUUGCUAGUAGUGUUGACAGGGCUUUCCCAAAACAUUUGUCCAACACGAAUAAACGCAACUUAUGCAUCCCUCCCCCGCUGACACGUUCACUUGAUGGUUUUUAUUGAUGUUUCAAAACGAAUGAGAAGGGGGGGCGGCAAAAUACAGGCGGCCCAUGGGCGGUUGAAUUGCAAUAUUUGUAUUAUGUAAUUACUACUUUUUGAAAUCCGUGCUACUUGGGGCCCCUUUGACGGUCACCUCUUUAUAGCUGAACUCGAGAAAUGUGUUUUUCAGUUUGCGACGAAAAGUGAAAAAUGCGUUUUUCAGUUUGCGACGAAAAGUCUCCAAUCAUGUUUUACUUUUUUAAUGAAUACCAACCAUCAGUCCCAUCAAGUAGGUAUUCUAAGUAAAUCAUAAAAAACUCCAAGGAAAUGUUUUGAUUAGUAAUCCUUGCAGAGAAUAAAACAUAAUCGGAGGUUUUUAAAACGUUUAAAUUGAGAUACGUCUUUUUCGUAUUUAGCCAUUGAUACAUGACGAGUGGAAAUUGAAAACCUGGCGAGCGUCAUCUGGUUACUUCUAAAAUAUGCAUAGUUAUGCAAUUACGCUCUUCAGCGUAAAAGAUCCUAAACGCCCCGUUUUCAUUGUUGUCUCUAAAUUUGGUCUAUUAGAAACUGAUGCCCCAUUAUAGCAACACCUGAUGGCACUUACCAGGUUUUGAAUUUCUGCUCUCCAUAUAUACAUAUAAAAAAAUACUUCCUCUCUACCCUAAAGGGGAGCGAGAAAGUAAAAAUUCACACUUCUUCAGCUUCGUGUGGCUUUCACCUGAAAAUUUCAGUUUCGUAUGGUUCAAUAAAAUGAUUCUCAGGUUUUGACGUUAUGUUUGUGCUUCUCUAACACAAGCACUCGAAAAAG